AUUUGAUUCUUCGGAUGAAGAUCUUGGUGACUGAGUGGCGGACGGGUGAGUAACGCGUGGGUAACCUGCCUCACACUGGGGGAUAACAGUUAGAAAUAGCUGCUAAUACCGCAUAAGCGCACAGUUCCGCAUGGAACGGUGUGAAAAACUCCGGUGGUGUGAGAUGGACCCGCGUUUGAUUAGCUGGUUGGUGGGGUAACGGCCCACCAAAGCGACGAUCAGUAGCCGGCCUGAGAGGGUGAACGGCCACAUUGGGACUGAGACACGGCCCAAACUCC
rnacentral:rRNA from 1 species